UACGAAGGGUGCAAGCGUUGCUCGGAAUUACUGGGCGUAAAGCGCGCGUAGGCGGUUCGUUAAGUCUGUCGUGAAAGCCCCGGGCUCAACCUGGGAAUGGCGAUGGAUACUGGCGGGCUAGAGUGCGGUAGAGGAGAGUGGAAUUCCCGGUGUAGCGGUGAAAUGCGUAGAGAUCGGGAGGAACAUCAGUGGCGAAGGCGGGUUGCUGGGCCGACACUGACGCUGAUGCGCGAAAGCCAGGGGAGCAAACGGG
rnacentral:rRNA from 1 species